CUUCCAGUAGCACCUUAGAGACCAACUAAGUUUGUUAUUGGUAUGAGCUUCCCUGUGCAUGUGCAUGCACAGGGAAGCUCAUACCAAUAACAAACUUAGUUGGUCUCUAAGGUGCUACUGGAAG